rnacentral:rRNA from 1 species
GCCUACGGGACGCAGCAGUAGGGAAUUUUCGUCAAUGGGCGCAAGCCUGAACGAGCAAUGCCGCGUGAACGAGGAAGGUCUUCGGAUCGUAAAGUUCUGUUGAAGGGGAAAAAGAGCGGAGAGAGGAAAUGCUUUCUGAUUGAUAUUACCCUUCGAGGAAGUCACGGCUAACUACGUGCCAGCAGCCGCGGUAAUACGUAGGUGGCGAGCGUUAUCCGGAAUGAUUGGGCGUAAAGGGUGCGUAGGCGGCCUGCUAAGUCUGGAGUGAAAGGUACCGGCUCGACCGGUGCAGGCUCUGGAAACUG